rnacentral:ncRNA from 1 species
GCUGGUGCCCGGGUCUCGGCUCGGGCUUGAAAGGGAAUCCGGUGUGAAUCCGGAGCUGCCCCGCAGCGGUCAGCGAGAACGAACCCGUCCACGCACACUGGCCGAGAGGCUGGGAAGGGGACGGCAGUAGGCGCCGGCGAUGAGCCGGGUGCUCGCGAGCCCGAAGACCUGCCAGC